rnacentral:tRNA from 1 species
UGAUAAUUAGUUUAAUCAAAAAACAAGUGAUUUCGACUCACUAGAUUAUGAUAUUUCAUAAUUAUCA